UAGGAAAUCUUCGGCAAUGGACGAAAGUCUGACCGAGCAACGCCGCGUGAGUGAAGAAGGUUUUCGGAUCGUAAAACUCUGUUGGUAGAGAAGAACGUUGGUGAGAGUGGAAAGCUCAUCAAGUGACGGUAACUACCCAGAAAGGGACGGCUAACUACGUGCCAG
rnacentral:rRNA from 1 species